AGGGGAAUGGUCAUCCAUAAGAUUUCAGACUUGCAGUUUCCCGUCACUCGUUUGCCACCCAUUUUCAUCCGGAGGAGUAAUAUCCAUUUGUGGUUGUAAACAGAAAGGCCAAAGCGCGGCUUGGUACAAAAAUGUUGUGAUGAUUGUUAAUCUUCAGUUAAGGCUUUAUGCUCAAGAUCAUGUUUUACAGUUCAAGAAAGAAUAUUUUUCAGUG